rfam:Ciona savignyi cont_41055, whole genome shotgun sequence.
GGGGGUGUAGCUCAGAUGGUAGAGCGCGCGCUUAGCAUGCGCGAGGUAACGGGAUCGAUACCCGAGACCUCCA